GGAGGUGUGCCAGAGCGGCCGAAUGGGGCUCCCUGCUAAGGAGUUGACUCGCAAGGGUCCGAAGGUUCAAAUCCUUUCACCUCCG
rnacentral:tRNA from 1 species